rnacentral:rRNA from 1 species
UACGAAGGGUGCAAGCGUUACUCGGAAUUACUGGGCGUAAAGCGUGCGUAGGUGGUUUGUUAAGUCUGUUGUGAAAGCCCCGGGCUCAACCUGGGAAUGGCAAUGGAUACUGGCAAGCUAGAGUGCGGUAGAGGGUAGUGGAAUUCCCGGUGUAGCGGUGAAAUGCGUAGAGAUCGGGAGGAACACCAGUGGCGAAAGCGGCCGGCUGGGCCCAACCUGACGCUGAGGCGCGAAAGCGUGGGGAGCGAACCGG